rnacentral:tRNA from 1 species
GGUUUGAGUGGUGUAAAGCACAUAAAGUUUUCAUCUUUAAAGUGGGUAGUUAGGACCCCUUAAAUU